UACGAAGGGGGCAAGCGUUGUUCGGAAUUACUGGGCGUAAAGCGUGCGCAGGCGGCUUCUCAAGUCAGGGGUGAAAGCCCAGAGCUCAACUCUGGAAUUGCCUUUGAGACUGAGUGGCUUGAGUACGAGAGAGGUGAGUGGAAUUCCCAGUGUAGAGGUGAAAUUCGUAGAUAUUGGGAAGAACACCGGUGGCGAAGGCGGCUCACUGGCCCGUAACUGACGCUCAUGCACGACAGCGUGGGGAUCAAACAGG
rnacentral:rRNA from 1 species